ensembl:lncRNA
CCUGUCUCAAAAAAUACUUUCCAACAGAGAUGCAUUCUUGCUUGCUAAAUCGCUUCAGUUGUGUUGGACUCUUUGCAACCCCAUGGACUGUAGCCCACCAAGCUCUCUGUCUAUGGGAUUCUCCAGGCAAGAACACCGGAGUGGGUUGCCAGCCCUCCUCCAGAGGAUCUUCCUGACCCAGGAUUGAACUCGCAUCUCCUACAUCUCCUGCAUUGUCAGGCAGAUUCUUUACCACCAGCGCUACAUGGGAAGCCUUCAAGCAGAGAUAACAGCAAAGUUGUCCAAGUUCUCCCACGAGGGAUCAAAUCUACCAUCUCUGCACUGGAAGCGAGGAGUCACUAUACAACUGGGGAAGUCUCAGAUGAAACAAGAUUGGCCAUUAAUUUAUUGCUGAAUCUUGACGGGAACACGG